rnacentral:rRNA from 1 species
AUUGAACGCUGGCGGCAUGCCUAACACAUGCAAGUCGAACGCGUGGCGGACGGGUGAGUCAUGUCUGAGAAACUGCCUGAUGGAGGGGGAUAACUACUGGAAACGGUAGAUAAUACCGCUAACCAUCCGAUGUGCCCUGAUUGGAUUAGCUUGUUGGUGGGGUAACGGCUCACCAAGGCGACGAUCCCUAGCUGGUCUGAGAGGAUGACCGGCCACACUGGAACUGAGAAACGGUCCAGACGCCUACGGGAGGCAGCAGUAGGGAAUCUUGCACAAUGGGCGCAAGCCUGACGGAGCCAUGCCGCGUGGCUGAAGAAGGCCUUCGGAUUGUAAAGCACUUUUAGCGGGGAAGCGUUACCUGAAGAAGAAGCAACGGCUAACUACGUGCCAGCAGCCGCGGUAAUUC